AGAGUUUGAUCCUGGCUCAGAUUGAACGCUGGCGGCAUGCUUUACACAUGCAAGUCGGACGGCAGCACAGAGAAGCUUGCUUCUUGGGUGGCGAGUGGCGAACGGGUGAGUAACAUAUCGGAACGUACCGAGCAGUGGGGGAUAACUAAUCGAAAGAUUAGCUAAUACCGCAUAUAUUCUGAGGAAGAAAGCAGGGGACCAUUUGGCCUUGCGCUGUUUGAGCGGCCGAUAUCUGAUUAGCUGGUUGGUGGGGUAAAGGCCUACCAAGGCGACGAUCAGUAGCGGGUCUGAGAGGAUGAUCCGCCACACUGGGACUGAGACACGGCCCAGACUCCUACGGGAGGCAGC
rnacentral:rRNA from 1 species